AAAGAUAGAGGCGCGGAGUUUAUCAGUAGCAUUGGCGAGGCAGCGGAGCCGAGAACCCAAUGUGAAAGGAAAAUCCGCCGAAACAGGCACAUUUACCGCAGAGGUGCUUGUUGGGUAUAUUGUUAAGAGCAAUAUAACUGUCACUUUAAGCAUUAUGCAGAGUGGAGAGCUAUU
rnacentral:ncRNA from 1 species